rnacentral:tmRNA from 1 species
GGGGGUGAAUGGCUUCGACGGUGGGCGGAUGGCAUGUUCGGCAUACGGCCAUGUGGGCCUAAAGCACAAACAAAUUUAGACGGCAAAACAACUGUCGCUCGCACUGCUUUGGCUGCGUAAGCACGCCGAAAGUGCACCCAUACCAAGAGUUUUGUACUUUAGUACGGUGUGGGAAGGGAAAAGUACAAUGGGUUUCAUUCGCGGUAAGUCGGUGGAAUCGUCACAAAACUUACUCGGUCAUUGUAUAACGGGUCGUACGAGUAUAGAUUGACUGUAAAAUAAACGCACGACUAUGUAUGUAGAAGAACCUGCAAUAACCCUAUCGGACCCGAGUUCAAAUCUCGGCACUUCCACCA